UUAGCCACGUACCUCAUCCUUAGAUGUUUCAGAGUCCAGUUUCGUUGCGAGGAACAUGACGACAUGAGGCACGUCUUGUACAGCCUGCUGAAGGUCUGUACUGUCUUCUCCCCACAAGAGCCGAACCAGAUUGUUCAUACUUGACUGUGCCUGUUUAUACCUCUGCUGAGAAGCUCCUUCAGGCUCAAAUAUUGAUGUUUCAAAUGUACCCAUGCUGCCUCCCACCGCACCGCUCAGACGGGCAGUCACUCUAUUUUGAGAAAGGUGGCUCUGCACAAUUUGACUACAAGUUCCUUUCCAAAUCUGCUCCAUUCUAUCUAACAGCUUGAAACGUGGUAUCUCCUGUUCCUCUCAACUUUUGUCCAAGUUCUAAUCUGUUUCCUGCCUUUAAAAAAAAUUACUGUGAAACAGACUUAUCUAGGCUGGAAAAAGCCGUAAUUAAAAAUGACCAAGAGACUACAUUUCUACAUACCCUAAAAACUAUUAUUUUUGUGUGGAAGAGAAAUGAGUGUUCAUUCUAAGCAGUGUAUAGGAUCUGAUUAAACAUCUGACUACUUAAGUACCCUUUUGCAAAUACUGACUAUGAAAUCUUUCACAACUUUGAUACCAUUUCUCUUAAAGAAAAUCAGUUUAAUGCCCAGCAGAAAACAGAAAAGGAAAUGAAAUGUAGAACAGGAAAGGCACAGAAAAUAUUAGUAUUCCAAUCUAUAAAUAUAUAGCAUGCACACAUUCUUAAUAUUUUGAAUAGUUCUCAAAAAGAAUUUAGUAAAACUGCAAGAAGGCACUGAUGAAGGCAACAAUACAGCAAACGAUGAGGUACAUAGAUGGGGAUUUUUCUGCUUAGGAAAUAUGUGACAAAAGCGAAACCUGAUAGAGCUCUCCAAAGUCAUACAAUGGUACAAAGAAUAAGACAUGGAUGAUUAACUACUCCUCAUAAUACAGGAACCUGGGGGUAUGAAAUGCACCUAAUUAGAUGGCAGUUUGAAAACCAACAAAAAUGGAGCUGAAGACACCAGUUAUGUAAGUCACUGCUACAGGAUGCUGUGGAGGUCAAAGAAAUUUUAAGAACUAGAUUAAAAAAGAAGAUGGUACAAAUUUGGUUCCUAACUAUUGACUGCUGGAAGCUUGCUGGGAAGGUCACUUUGUAUUUAAUUUGUUUCUUAAUACACAUUUGUCAGUGUAUGAAACAGAAAAUAUAGCUGUUAUACAUUGGUCUGACCCAGAAAGGCAUGUGUUCUGUUUAUUGCAGGAAAGCUGUACGUCUUAGAAUAUGGAUUUUAUUAUAGACAGAGCUGGUGGCAUUGCCUGCCUUUUAAGAUUGCCUGCCAUUUCCUGUUCUGAGUCUCUGUUUUCCAUGUGCUUACGGUUUGCACAACUGUAACUCAAAAUUUCAGGCUGAAAUUUCUGAUUCUGAAUGUCUGCUUCAGGCUACAUAUUUUUAGAAACUUUCGGGUAAAAUGGUUCUGCAACUUCAGAGUAUCAAAAUAAGGAAAAGUAUAUAUUUUUAACACAUCUUCCCCUUCCUAUUCUGUCUUCUCUGUCUCGUGGUGAUAGUAAACAGCAGAUUGAUUACAGAAAUGUGAAUUUGCAUGGACUGCAGAAUAUAAUUUUAUCAUAUGAUCUCAAACACACAUGGAGGAGUAUGCUUUGUCCUGUCACAUUCAGUGACUGCUACACAACUUCUAAACGGGGUAUCCAAUGCUGAUGUAGCAUUUGGACUUGUAUUGCUCAUUACAGACACUAACCUAGCCCUUACGUGCCUAGAAACUAGUUUGCCUAAACUGAGAUAAGGAAAACAAAAUUCUGGAAAUAUAAUAAUGAGAGAUGUUAUGCCACAUGCUGCAACCGAGAGAAUCUAGGUAAUUAGAUUUUGAAAUUAUUUCCAGUAAUUUUUAACACUGAACCCAGAAGAGCAGUGACUUUGCUUACAUAAAUAACUUCUAACUACAGUAAAACAGUUUUAAACUGUGUUUUUAAAUACAUUUUGCAAUGUAAGAUGAAUGAGAAUACAUUAACAAUUUUGCUCAUUUAAAAGCUGUCUUUAUUACUAGAGUUCAGAAACAACAACCCUCUGUUUCUUCAGCAGCAUGAACACAGCAAAAACCUCAGAACUCUGUAUUUAAAUUCUCCACUGGUCUAUUUCAGCAAUCAGUCUUCUGGCUUGACUCAAACUGUACAGUAAAAAAGGAGUAAUUGCACUUUAAUAAAAGGUUUUGGAAAGCCAACAUGACAAACAGUUAUAUUUCAAAUAUACAUUUAAAGUAACCGCUGUCUACUUGACAGAUUUACUGACAAUGUAAACUUUAACAUUGCAUUAGAAGUAACUACUAUAUAAAGGGUUGGAUUGCAUUUUAGCAACAAGUGAUACGUAUACUCUAAUCUAGCAAGCAUACAAUUAAAUAAACUAUAUGAUCUCUGCUUUUUAAA